rnacentral:rRNA from 1 species
AACGAACGCUGGCGGCAUGCCUAACACAUGCAAGUCGAACGAGACCUUCGGGUCUAGUGGCGCACGGGUGCGUAACGCGUGGGAACCUGCCCUUAGGUUCGGAAUAACUCCCCGAAAGGGGUGCUAAUACCGGAUAAUGUCUUCGGACCAAAGAUUUAUCGCCUUUGGAUGGGCCCGCGUUGGAUUAGCUAGUUGGUAGGGUAAAAGCCUACCAAGGCGUCGAUCCAUAGCUGGUCUGAGAGGAUGAUCAGCCACACUGGGACUGAGACACGGCCCAGACUCCUACGGGAAGCAGCAGUGGGGAAUAUUGGACAAUGGGCGAAAGCCUGAUCCAGCAAUGCCGCGUGAGUGAUGAAGGCCUUAGGGUUGUAAAGCUCUUUUACCCGGGAUGAUAAUGACAGUACCGGGAGAAUAAGCUCCGGCUAACUCCGUG